GCUAGCUUAUAUAAAGAAGUCGAAACCACCACUUUCUCUAGUAAAGAUGCAGCAAGCAGGCUCCUCCAACCCUCGAUCUCAACAGCAUGCUAGAUCCAUUCCUCAAUAAAUUCAGAACAACCGUACUGUCUAUCAAAUUUGUGGUAAAUCUGGGCAUACUGCUAUUGAUUAUUUUCACCGUUUUCACUACUCCUAUCAAGUCAGAUAUCCUCAUCGGGAUUUGGCAGCUAUGGUCACUGAGAGCAAUGCCACAUAUGAUCAUCAAGUUUGGUAUAUGGACAGCGAGGCCAAUGCACAUAUAACAUCAGAUGCAGUUAAUCUCACCAAUUCGCAGCCCCUUCGUGAAGCAGAAUCUAUUAUCGUCGGCAAUGGUUCAGGUUUGCAAGUUCUCCAUGGUGGUUCCUCAUCCUUUAGAUUAGGUC
rnacentral:lncRNA from 1 species